CGUACACUAAAACACACAGGCUGUGAACUCGAAGAGUAGGGCGGGACACGUGGUAUCCUGUCUGAAUAUGGGGGGACCAUCCUCCAAGGCUAAAUACUCCUGACUGACCGAUAGUGAACCAGUACCGUGAGGGAAAGGCGAAAAGAACCCCGGCGAGGGGAGUGAAAAAGAACCUGAAACCGUGUACGUACAAGCAGUAGGAGCCCCACCACCAAAGCGUUUCGCUUUGCGUGGUGCGCAAAAUGCGUAACGACAGCAUGAUGGACGGUUAACGGAGCGUAAGCGACGUUCAACCUCAAAAAUCAGGCAGUGGAGCGUUUUGGGGUGGGGUGACUGCGUACCUUUUG
rnacentral:rRNA from 1 species